GACGAACGCUGGCGGCGUGCCUAAUACAUGCAAGUUGAGCGCUGAAGGUUGGUACUUGUACCAACUGGAUGAGCAGCGAACGGGUGAGUAACGCGUGGGGAAUCUGCCUUUGAGCGGGGGACAACAUUUGGAAACGAAUGCUAAUACCGCAUAAAAACUUUAAACACAAGUUUUAAGUUUGAAAGAUGCAAUUGCAUCACUCAAAGAUGAUCCCGCGUUGUAUUAGCUAGUUGGUGAGGUAAAGGCUCACCAAGGCGAUGAUACAUAGCCGACCUGAGAGGGUGAUCGGCCACAUUGGGACUGAGACACGGCCCAAACUCCUACGGGAGGCAGCAGUAGGGAAUCUUCGGCAAUUGACGAAAGGCUGACCGAGCAACGCCGCGUGAGGGAAGAAGGGUUUCGGAUCGUAAAACUCUGUUGGUAGAGAAGAACGUUGGUGAGAGUGGAAAGCUCAUCAAGUGACGGUAACUACCCAGAAAGGGACGGCUAACUACGUG
rnacentral:rRNA from 1 species